UUAGAAUCCGCGGCGUACAGACGUAUAAGUAUAACCUCCUCUUUCUCAUAUUCAAAAAUCGAUUUUCUCUUUGAAGGAAAGAGUGGUGGUGAGUUAAAGAAAAAGAGAGAAAGCAGGUUCCUCUCCCACCUUUCAAGAUCUCUCUCCUCGUUAAUCAUCACCUACAUCUUUUCUCAACACUGUGCCAUCCAAACAAAAGCAACCACCGUAAUUUCCUAUUUCCAGCCAAGAACCCACGGAUCUACUCACAUCAUCACCAUCCUAAACCGUGUUUCACAAUACCAUGUACAGCUUCAUCUCACUUUAACUUUCCCUUUUGAAUGUUAG